rnacentral:rRNA from 1 species
AAGUCGUAACAAGGUUUCCUUUCGUUAAAGAACUUGCCGAAGCCUAACGCAGCGACUUGAAAAAUAAAUGUGGAAUCCUCUUUUCGGGGAUGAUACCGCCGAAAUGCUGGAACCGUGGCACGUUAGCCUCUCACCAGCAGCCCUUUAGCGGCUCACAGAUCAACGAGCGGUGGUUCCUCAAGCAGGAACUUCGAUAUGACCGGUCUCAACCCUCCACGGUUGAGAAGCAACGUUCCGUAGGUGAACCUGCGGAAGGAUCAUUA